AUACGAAGGAUGCAAGCGUUGUUCGGAUUUACUGGGCGUAAAGCGUCCGUAGGUGGUUUGUUAAGUUAGGGGUGAAAUCCCGGGGCCUAACCCCGGAACUGCCUUUGAUACUGGCAGGCUGGAGCGCGAUAGAGGAAGAUGGAAUAUCUGGUGUAGGGGUGAAAUCCGUAGAUAUCAGAUAGAACACCAAUGGCGAAGGCAGUCUUCUGGAUCGUUGCUGACACUGAGGGACGAAAGCGUGGGUAGCAAACAGAAUUAGAUACUCUGGUAGUCCACGCCCUAAACGAUGCAUGCUUGUUGUUGGUUUCCUUCGGGGAAUCAGUGACGAAGCUAACGCGUUAAGCAUGCCGCCUGGGGACUACGAUCGCAAGAUUAAAACUUAAAGGAAUUGACGGGG
rnacentral:rRNA from 1 species